UAAUAUGUUAAAAAUUAGGUAGUAAUGAUAUAUCUGAAACCUAAAGGACUUGGCGGUAUUUUAAAUAAUUGGAGGAACUUGUUGUUUAAUUGAAGUUCCACAACAGAUCUUACCCCGUUUUUGUUUGUAUAUCGUUGUUUUAAGACAGCAUUUUAAAGUGUAGUCAAGAUUAAAAUUUUUUAUAAAAUCAAAUCAAGGUGCAGCAUAAUGGGGGUACGGUGAGUUACAAUACGUUUUAUGUAAACGGAAAAUAGAGUGAAAAUUGUGUAUGAAGGUGGAUUCAAAAGUAAUAAAAUAUUAAAAAGUUUUUAUGAAUAAAAAUUUAAAAUAUGC
rnacentral:rRNA from 1 species